AUUGAACGCUGGCGGCAUGCCUUACACAUGCAAGUCGAACGGUAACAGGUCUUCGGAUGCUGACGAGUGGCGAACGGGUGAGUAAUACAUCGGAACGUGCCUAGUAGUGGGGGAUAACUACUCGAAAGAGUGGCUAAUACCGCAUGAGAUCUACGGAUGAAAGCAGGGGAUCGCAAGACCUUGUGCUACUAGAGCGGCCGAUGGCAGAUUAGGUAGUUGGUGGGAUAAAAGCUUACCAAGCCGACGAUCUGUAGCUGGUCUGAGAGGACGAUCGGGCACACAGGGACGGGGACACGGCCCAGACUCCUACGGGAGGCAGCGGUGGGGAAUUUUGGAAAAUGGGCGAAAGCCUGAUCCAGCAAUGCCGCGUGCAGGAUGAAGGCCCUCGGGUUGUAAACUGCUUAUGUACGGAACGAAAAGCCCCGGGUUAAUACCCUGGGGUCAUGACGGUACCGUAAGAAUAAGCACCGGCUAACUACGUGCCAGCCGCCGCCGUAA
rnacentral:rRNA from 1 species